AACGAACGCUGGCGGCAUGCCUAACACAUGCAAGUCGAACGAGACCUUCGGGUCUAGUGGCGCACGGGUGCGUAACGCGUGGGAACCUGCCCUUAGGUUCGGAAUAACUCCCCGAAAGGGGUGCUAAUACCGGAUAAUGUCUUCGGACCAAAGAUUUAUCGCCUUUGGAUGGGCCCGCGUUGGAUUAGCUAGUUGGUAGGGUAAAAGCCUACCAAGGCGACGAUCCAUAGCUGGUCUGAGAGGAUGAUCAGCCACACUGGGACUGAGACACGGCCCAGACUCCUACGGGAGGCAGCAGUGAGGAAUAUUGGACAAUGGGCGAGAGCCUGAUCCAGCAAGGCCGCGUGAGUGAUGAAGGCCUUAGGGUUGUAAAGCUCUUUUACCCGGGAUGAUAAUGACAGUACCGGGAGAAUAAGCUCCGGCUAACUCCGUG
rnacentral:rRNA from 1 species